CUGGAGAAUGAUGAGUUGCACAAAUGGAGUUGUGGUGCUGUGUACUGCAAUGUCCAACAGAACCAGACUGGUGACAGAACCGAGUGCACAGGGGCCAGCUGACUCCAU